rnacentral:rRNA from 1 species
GACGAACGCUGGCGGCGUGCUUAACACAUGCAAGUCGGACGAGACCCCUUCUUCGGGAGGGUGUUCUAGUGGCGAACGGGUGAGUAACACGUGGGCAACCUGCCCUCAGCUCUGGGAUAACUCCAAGAAAUUGGGGCUAAUACCGGAUAUGACUGCUGACCGCAUGGUCUGGUGGUGGAAAGAUUUAUCGGCUGGGGAUGGGGCCCGCGGCCUAUCAGCUUGUUGGUGGGGUAGUGGCCACCAAGGCGACGACGGGUAGCCGGCCGUGAGAGGGUGACCGGCCACACUGGGACUGAGACACGGCCCAGACUCCUACGGGAGGCAGCAGUGGGGAAUAUUGCGCAAUGGGCGAAGCCUGACGCAGCGACGCCGCGUGGGGAUGACGGCC